UACAGAGGGUGCAAGCGUUGUUCGGAAUUAUUGGGCGUAAAGGGCGCGUAGGCGGUGCUAUAAGUCUGUGGUGAAAUCUCUGGCUCAACUCAGAGUCUGCCAUAGAAACUGUAGUGCUAGAGUGUGGGAGAGGGACAUAGAAUUCCGGGUGGAGUGGUGAAAUGCGUAGAUAUCCGGAGGAAAUACCAAAGGCGAAGGCAGUGUCCUGGCUGGCAACUGACGCUGAGGCGCGAAAGCGUGGGGAGCGAACAGG
rnacentral:rRNA from 1 species